AUAUCACGAUUGUCCUAGAGUAGGGCGGGACACGAGAAAUCCUGUCUGAACAUGGGGAGACCACUCUCCAAGCCUAAGUACUCGUGCAUGACCGAUAGCGAACAAGUACCGUGAGGGAAAGGUGAAAAGCACCCCGACAAGGGGAGUGAAAUAGAACCUGAAACCGGAUGCCUACAAACAGUCGGAGGGGGCAACCCUGACGGCGUACCUUUUGUAUAAUGGGUCAACGACUUAGUGUAACAAGCAAGCUUAAGCCGGUAGGUGUAGGCGCAGCGAAAGCGAGUCUGAAUAGGGCGAUAUAGUUUGUUGCAUUAGACCCGAAACCGAGUGAUCUAGCCAUGAGCAGGUUGAAGGUUGGGUAACACCAACUGGAGGACCGAACCCGCAUCUGUUGCAAUAGAUUGGGAUGACUUGUGGCUAGGGGUGAAAGGCCAAUCAAACUCGGAAAUAGCUGGUUCUCCGCGAAAUCUAUUUAGGUAGAGCGUCGAGCGAAUACCCCCGGGGGUAGAGCACUGGAUGGGCUAUGGGGACUCACCGUCUUACUGAUCCUAACCAAACUCCGAAUACCGGGGAGUACUACUCGGCAGACACACGGCGGGUGCUAACGUCCGUCGUGAAAAGGGCAACAACCCUAACCUCCAGCUAAGGUCCCCAAGUCAUGGCUAAGUGGGAAAGGAUGUGAGGAUCCCAAAACAACCAGGAUGUUGGCUUAGAAGCAGCCAUCAUUUAAAGAAAGCGUAACAGCUCACUGGUCUAAAUAAGGGUCUUUGCGCCGAAAAUGUAACGGGGCUGAAGCCAUGCACCGAAGCUGAGGAU
rnacentral:rRNA from 2 species